GCUGGGCAUGGUAGUGCACAUCUGUAAUCCCAGCUCCUUGGAAGGCUGAGGCAGGAGGAUCACAGGUUCAAGGCCAGCCUGGGCAACUUAGUGAGACCCUGUCUCAA
rnacentral:sRNA from 1 species